rnacentral:rRNA from 1 species
GUAUAGAGGGUGAAUUCUGCCCAAUGGUUGUAUAGUGAAACUGAGGACUAACGUCUAAAGCGAAACCCAACUGAAUGGCCGCGGUAACUCUGACCGUGAUAAUGUAGCACAAUAAAUAGCCAAUUAAUUGUUGGCGGGUAUGAAUGGAACCACGAGGAUCUUACUGUCUCAAGAGAAAAGCCGAUGAAAUUAUAGUUGUAGUGAAGAUACUACAUAAACAUUGUAAGACGAAAAGACCCUAUCGAGCUUUACUGGAUACCGAUAGCGUUAACUUAAAAUGAUCGAUAUAAGUAUCCUAAUUUUGAGUUAAUAAUUUUUGUUGGUAGGACAGUUUAGUUGGGGCGACUACCUUUGAAUAAGAAACGAAGGCGAGCUUAUGGUAUACAAAGCUAUCACAUUAGCCUGACAGUGAGGGGGACAUCCCUAGCUGGCACAAGGACAAGUCCUAUGUGGGCGAUAAUGACCCGAUAUUAUUGUCCAAAAUAAAUAUCGAAAGCGGAUAAAAGCUACCGUAGGGAUAACAGCGUAAUAUUGUCGGAGAGUUCUUAUCGAGGACAGUGUUUGCGACCUCGAUGUUGAAUUGCGGUGCCCUGGUGCUGUAGAAGGUACCUUAGGUUGGUC